rnacentral:rRNA from 1 species
AGAUUGAACGCUGGCGGCAGGCCUAACACAUGCAAGUCGAGCGGUAGAGAGGUGCUUGCACCUCUUGAGAGCGGCGGACGGGUGAGUAAUGCCUAGGAAUCUGCCUAGUGGUGGGGGAUAACGUUCGGAAACGGACGCUAAUACCGCAUACGUCCUACGGGAGAAAGCGGGGGACCUUCGGGCCUCGCGCCAUUAGAUGAGCCUAGGUCGGAUUAGCUAGUUGGUGAGGUAAUGGCUCACCAAGGCGACGAUCCGUAACUGGUCUGAGAGGAUGAUCAGUCACACUGGAACUGAGACACGGUCCAGACUCCUACGGGAGGCAGCAGUGGGGAAUAUUGGACUAAGUGGGCGAAAAGCCUGACUCCAGCCAAUGCCGCGUGUGUAGAAGAGGUCGUUCGGAUUAGGUAAAGCUAACGUUUUAAGGUGGAGGUAAGGGUUGUAAACGUUUAAUACGUUGUACUAACUUUGGAACGUUUAACCGACAAGUAAACUUAA